GAGACUCUGUGCGCGUGCAUAUCAAUAAGCGGAGGAAAAGAAACUAACAAGGAUUCCCCUAGUAACGGCGAGUGAAGCGGGAAGAGCUCAAAUUUGAAAUCUUCAAGGCUCUACCUUGACGAAUUGUAGUUUAUAGAAGUGUUUUCUGUUAGUGGAGUGGCAAAAGUUCUUUGGAAUAGGACAUCAUAGAGGGUGAGAAUCCCGUAUUUGGUCAUUCCUCCUAGCGUUGUGAUACACUUUCAACGAGUCGGAUUGUUUGGGAAUGCAGUCCAAAGAUGGGUGGUAAAUUUCAUCUAAAGCUAAAUAUUGGCGAGAGACCGAUAGCGAACAAGUACCGUGAGGGAAAGAUGAGAAGAACUUUGAAAAGAGAGUUAAACAGUACGUGAAAUUGUCAAAAGGGAAGCGUUUGACACCAGUGUUGUUUAGUUGAAAAUCAAUUCAAUAGUUUUUGAUUCUAAGUAGUAUUGACUUCAUCAGCUUGCUGCUUUCUUCUCAGAAAUUAUUGAAUGCACUUUUCAGUUAACAAGUCAACAUCAAUUUCUUUUGUUGUAAAAGGGUAAGAGGAAGGUGGCUUGCGCUUCGGCUCAAGUGUUUAUAGCCUUUUAUCUCUGCAAUCGGAGAGAUUGAGGUCUGCAGGCGUAGAUCCUUCGGGGUUAGAUACAUUGGUGCUAAGCUAUAGCCUUGUAUAGACAACUUGUUGACUAUGCUCAGUCAUGUAGCUUACUCGCUGAUGCUAUUUUACCUACGCUUAGGAUGUUGACAGCAGUAUAGACUGU
rnacentral:rRNA from 1 species